AGAAAAAAUUAGCCAGGUGUGGUGGCACACACCUAUAGUCUCAGCUACUUGGGAGGCCAAGGCAGGAGGAUCACUUGAGCCCAGGAGUUUGAGCUAUGACAUCACUGCACCACUCUAGUAGCCCAGGCAACCGUGCAAGACCCUGUCUCAAAAAAUGAAAGCACGCUGGCCUUGCCUCGACUUCUGCUGCUGCCUCCAGUUCCUGGCAGCAGCCUGUAGGGAGGCCCACAGGUGACGCCCAAAGUAGAGCUGGGCACCAGCUAUUUGAGUGACACCUUUGAUCUGAUA
ensembl:snoRNA